rnacentral:tRNA from 1 species
GGGCCCGUAGCUCAGCGGUUAGAGCUGACCGCUCAUAACGGUUAGGUCGCAGGUUCGAAUCCUGCCGGGCUUACCA